GACGAACGCUGGCGGCGUGCUUAACACAUGCAAGUCGAACGGAAAGGCCCUGAUUUUGUGGGGUGCUCGAGUGGCGAACGGGUGAGUAACACGUGAGUAACCUGCCCUUGACUUUGGGAUAACUUCAGGAAACUGGGGCUAAUAUCGGAUAGGAGCUCCUGCUGCAUGGUGGGGGUUGGAAAGUCUCGGCGGUUGGGGAUGGACUCGCGGCUUAUCAGCUUGUUGGUGGGGUAGUGGCUGACCAAGGCUUUGACGGGUAGCCGGCAUGAGAGGGUGACCGGCCACAUUGGGACUGAGAUACGGCCCAGACUCCUACGUGAGGCAGCAGUGGGGAAUAUUGCACAAUGGGCGGAAGUCUGAUGCAGCAACGCCGCGUGCGGGAUGCCGGCCUUCGGGUUGUAAACCGCUUUCGCCUGUGACGAAGCGUGAGUGACGGUAAUGGGUAAAGAAGCACCGGCUAACUACGUG
rnacentral:rRNA from 1 species